UGGGGAAUAUUGCACAAUGGGGGAAACCCUGAUGCAGCGACGCCGCGUGAGCGAAGAAGUAUUUCGGUAUGUAAAGCUCUAUCAGCAGGGAAGAAAAUGACGGUACCUGACUAAGAAGCACCGGCUAAAUACGUGCCAGCAGCCGCGGUAAUACGUAUGGUGCAAGCGUUAUCCGGAUUUACUGGGUGUAAAGGGAGCGUAGACGGUUGUGUAAGUCUGAUGUGAAAGCCCGGGGCUCAACCCCGGGACUGCAUUGGAAACUAUGUAACUAGAGUGUCGGAGAGGUAAGCGGAAUUCCUAGUGUAGCGGUGAAAUGCGUAGAUAUUAGGAGGAACACCAGUGGCGAAGGCGGCUUACUGGACGAUCACUGACGUUGAGGCUCGAAAGCGUGGGGAGCAAACA
rnacentral:rRNA from 1 species